ensembl:lncRNA
GGAGCCGCGGGGAGAGGAAGGAGGAACGAAGGAACGCGUCACCUCGAGCCGGCGCCGAGCGUGGCUGCCGCACUACGGAGAGCAGAACGGCCCGGCCCGGCCUCCCCCGCCUUUCUGCACGGCACGGGCCCCGCCUGACAAGGGGCGGAGGGUGGUUGGGGCCGUUAGGCGCCGCCCCGCGCCUGCGCGACCUUGGGGGCGGCCCCGGCCGUGAUUGAGGCGCUGUGGUGGGCGCUGUGUGAGGGGCUGCGGGAGGGCAAUGUGAGGAGGUUCCCGCCAAGUGCCGCAGCCUUCGUUCGUAGAUUCGAGUACCUCAGGGUUUGCCCGUAUCUCGCGUGUGACUGAAGGGAGAAGUUUAAGGUACAGCAACAGAAGAACCAUGGUAAUGUGAAGCUGUAGUGGUGUUGUUCUGAGAAGAAUGCAGAAGAAAAUAGAUCCCACAAAACUUUCUCUUCUUCUUGUCGCUCUGACACGAACACACUCCUCUGUGGCUGUCAGCCACUGCUGGCUGGAACAGAUGGAAGUCCUCCACAUGGUGCAGGAAUCUGCUUUCCAUGUGAAAAUGAGGUGACGCCUUCAUCGCAGCCAGGAGCCAGGUUGAAAAUUAAUGUCUCUGCAUCUCUGGAAAUGGUUUGCAAAGGCCUGUAGGGCAGUUCCUGAUUUUUUCAGCUGUUGGUUUAGUCUGGGUUGCUUUCAUCCUUGACUUUAGUGCAAGGAAAAUAAUCUGAAGAGUUUGUUUUCUGAUGGAGAAGAGAGAAGCAAUGGAGGAAAGCAAUGGAAUCUGCAGCCAGAAAGAACAGAUGACGUUUGCUGAAAAAUCCUGAUUACCACAGAAAGAAGAGUGGAAGAACAUACCUAUAUUGUUUAGCAUCUCCAGAUAUUAAAAUCUACACAAGAUCAAGAAAGGCUUUCAAAGAUUUUGUGUAUAAGUAUCCCACUGCAGUCUCUUAAAGCAAACGACAUUUUUCAGCAUUUUUAAGGCAAAUGAAUCUAUACACAAGUUCCUAAAGAACUAUUAAUAGAGAGUCGCAUAGAAACCUCUCAAAACCAGGGCAAAUUUAAUUAUUUAGGUGCAGAGUACUUACUCUAAAAGAAGCUACUAAUGAAGAAACUGUAAGGAAGGCUGCUCUUUAUUGACAGCCACCACCUACCAAGACCUCAGUACAGGCUUCUCUCAAGAGCUUCCACCAGACUCACCAACAGAAGCCAUGCAGCUCUGCAGACUGCAUAUUAACCCAUGUGAAUACAGCAGUAGCUUUCUGUAGGUGGUCUGUGGUCCAACCCCAACCUUGUUUUUUAAGGAGAAAUAAGUAAAUAAUUAAAAAAAAAAAAAAAAAAAAAAGGUUAAAUACAUUUUCACAUCAGGGGAAAGACUGGGCUAAAAAGUGAUCACUGACUUCUUUUUUUCUCUCACCAGAGAGAAAGUAACUGGUAGCAGCAUUGACACACGCUUUCCUUGCUGCUGCCUGACUUCAUCUCAGCCUUGACAACACAGAUCACAAAGGGACACCGCGUAUGUUUUAAAUCAAGGAAACCGGGGGAAGUGUGAUGCUGGAGCCACAGCAGAGAUAUGAAUAACUUCCCCGUGCUUACAUCUGUCUGCAGAACACUGAGGAUGAAGACACUUUUGUGAUUCAGAUCCAAAAUUACAGGAAGAUUUUUGUAUUUAUUCUUUAACUUCUCAGAUAAUAUUUUCUGCUCUGCCCCAGGCAAACCACCUGCAGUAGUGUCUCCUUUUUCCUUCUUUCCUAACACAGAAAUAACUUAUUUCCUCACAAGGUUACUUUAAGGUUAAACUAAUUAAUUUUCCUAAGAUCAUUCAAGAGUUCUUAGCUUGUCAUUUAAAAAUAAUUAAGAGAAGCUCGUUGUCAAAGAGACCUUAGGCUUGGCUGCAGUGAUACAAUGAUAUCACUGUGGCAGCAACGCUUGUGAUGGAGUGCAGACCCCUCCGGGGCACUCAGAGCAGUGCAGAGCAUCCACUGCCUCUAUUCUCAGAGCUGUGGGGUUUGGGCAUCCUACAUACUGAAACAGUGAAACCACCAUAGCACUGGUUCUCUGAAGAAACAGCAAUUACUGCCCACAACCAAUGAAAUAGUCUGAACUCCCAGAGGUGACCCACUGUCUUUGUCACCACUGCUGAAACACAUCACCUGCUGCCAUACCACUUUUACUCCCACACUCAGACAGCCCAGGAUGCAACCAGUCUCCCAGUUUAAUCGCACAGACUCAUGGAGGUGUCUAUGGGGAAGGCGGAGAUGAUGUUUUCUCUUUUUCUUCUAUCUAAACUCACUUUCUGUUUCCAGAAAGGUUGCCUUACAUUAGUACGGUACAUUACAAUGAAGAAACGCGUUUCCUGACAACCCAGCUAUAUACCCAGUUUAUCUGCAUUGUUCCACUGUUCCAUGGAAGCUUUUAGCUGAUUAAGUUCUUCUUCUGUUCCAGCACUGCAUUGUUUUCAUCUUAAUCUUUCACGUUUCUUUAAAUCUCAUUAUUCAUUUAUUUGUAUCUCGUUACUGCUCAGAACUCAGCUUUUUGUUUUUUGCAGGGGGUGGGGGGAGGAGGGAGGGAAGGAAAGACAAUGAGCUGUAAAUAUUGGUUUAUAGAAAAGAAAAAGUACUAUAAAAUCAUACAUUUUUUUCUUCAAAAUAAUAUAAUUUUAUCAGUCUUUUUAUUCCUAAGUCCUUUAGUUUCCAUUCUUUACAGUUUUACUGACUGAUAGCCUUACAAUUAAAUAUGUGUCUCUGUUGGGAUCUUUCCAAAGACACACAUACUGAGGAGAACACAGCAUUUUUCAGCCAAUUAAUUUACCUCUUGCAAACUCUCUCUUCACAGAAUCACAGAACCACAGAAUAGUAGGGUUGGAAGAGACAUCUGGAGAUCCCAGAGUUCAGCCCUUCCUAAAGCAGGUUCCCUACAGCAGGUUACCCAGGAAAGCAUCCAGAUAGGUCUUGAAUACUUCUAAAGAAGGAGAGCUCACAGCCUCUCUGGGCAGCCUGAUUCUGUGCUCUGUGCCUUCAGAAUUAAGAAGUUAUUUCUUGUGUUUGUACAGAAGUUUCUAAGUUUCAGUUUGUGCCCAUUGUCCCUUGUUCUGCCACUGGGCACUACCAAAAAGAGCCUGGCCCCAUCCUGCUGACACCUGCACUUCAGAUGUUUAUAAACAGUGAUGAGAUCCCCUCUCAGCCUUCUCAGCUCUGAACAGUCCCAGAUAUCUCUGCCUUUUCUCAUAGGAGAGAUGCUCUGACCCUUCUUCAUUAUUUUAACAGGAUAUGCUGUACUCCAUUCAAAACUUCAAGUCUGUCUGAAAGGCUUGGUCCUGGAAAAAAACAUAGUCUUUCAGGUGCUCUUUAUAUAAGAGACAUCAAUAUUUGUCACCAAAUUUAAUUAAGUAUUUUAUUAUCAAAUAUGUGAUUGGUCUCGGCUAGGAAAGCAGCUUUUAAGCAAAGGUCAGUUAUUCUGUAUGUGAACUUAGGUAUCCUAAGCCUUCUCUUAAACAGAGCAACAAUAGACUAAACAUAAGAAUAAGAAUUAGAAAAUCAAAUAGGUAAAAUGAAGAGAGACACUAAACAUUACUUGCCUUCAUUUCUGCCUUCACCAGUACUGAAUGGUGUUUAUGAUUUUAUGCAUGUGCAAAGAAUAAGUAAAACCCUCCUCUUCUACUGCAUUGCCCCUUGAGCCUCAAGACACUUUGAAUGACAAAAGUGACCUCCGAAGGCCAGAGAAGGACCAAAAUAGAAGAGAUUUUCUUCUGUGCCCACAAGCGAAAACAACAAGCAGCAGUCUGUACUGAACUGUGGUUAACUUCUUUCACAUCCUGAGAUGGAAAGCAGCCAAUGAACAUUUGGAUAGUAAAUGCCGAGCUACUCGGUAAAGCUUUGGCUAGGACCUAAUCUUAAACCAUAAUAAAAGAUCCUAUCAAAAGACA